rnacentral:rRNA from 1 species
GGAUUAGAUACCCUAUUAUAUUUAAACAAAUUGGGUAGUAUUAUUAAUAAAAACCUUUAUACUUUGGCGGCAUUUUAUCUUAUUAGAGGAAUAUGUUCAUUAAUCGAAACCACACGAUAGUUUUUACUUACUAUAAAAUUUUAUAUACCCCCGUCUAAAGAAUUUAUUUAAAAUUUUUAUUCCAAAUUAUAUUAAAAAAAGUUAGGUAAAGGUGUAGACUAUUAGUAAGAUUAAAUGUAUUACAUUAAAAAAAAUUUAAGGAUAAAACAGUUAACUGUUUAUUAAAAGAGGAUUUAUAAGUAAUUUACUUUUAAUAAAAAUUAAUGAAUAAGAAAAUAAAUGUGCACAUAUCGCCCGUCACUCU